AUUGAACGCUGGCGGCAGGCUUAACACAUGCAAGUCGAGCGGGGGAAGGUAGCUUGCUACCGGACCUAGCGGCGGACGGGUGAGUAAUGCUUAGGAAUCUGCCUAUUAGUGGGGGACAACAUCUCGAAAGGGAUGCUAAUACCGCAUACGUCCUACGGGAGAAAGCAGGGGAUCACUUGUGACCUUGCGCUAAUAGAUGAGCCUAAGUCGGAUUGGCUAGUUGGUGGGGUAAAGGCCUACCAAGGCGACGAUCUGUAGCGGGUCUGAGAGGAUGAUCCGCCACACUGGGACUGAGACACGGCCCAGACUCCUACGGGAGGCAGCAGUGGGGAAUAUUGGACAAUGGGGGGAACCCUGAUCCAGCCAUGCCGCGUGUGUGAAGAAGGCCUUAUGGUUGUAAAGCACUUUAAGCGAGGAGGAGGCUCUUUUGGUUAAUGCCCAAGAUGAGUGGACGUUACUCGCAGAAUAAGCACCGGCUAACUCUGUGCCAGCCGCCGCGGUAA
rnacentral:rRNA from 1 species